AUCCUAACCGUGCGAAGGUAGCAUAAUCACUUGUUCUUUAAAUGGGGACUUGUAUCAACGGCACCACGAGGGUUAGACUGUCUCCUUUUUCAAAUCAGUGAAAUUAAUCUCCCCGUGAAGAAGCGGGGAUACUCAUAUAAGACGAGAAGACCCCAUGGAGCUUCAAACCCAACUACACCCCUAGCUCUUAUAGCCCCACAACCCCCCUAGGCACCGUGUGCUUGGUUUUAGGUUGGGGCGACCGCGGAGUACAAUAAAACCUCCACAAUGAAUGGGAACACCCCCUUAUCUGAGGGCCACACCCCCUAAGAAUUAGAACACUAACAUAAAAUGAUCCAUUACUUGAUCAAUGAACCAAGUUACCCUGGGGAUAACAGCGCAAUCCAUUUCAAGAGCCCCUAUCGACAAAUGGGUUUACGACCUCGAUGUUGGAUCAGGGUACCCC
rnacentral:rRNA from 1 species